rnacentral:rRNA from 1 species
UACGUAGGGUGCAAGCGUUGUCCGGAAUUAUUGGGCGUAAAGAGCUCGUAGGCGGUCUGUCACGUCGACUGUGAAAACCCGGGGCUCAACUCCGGGCCUGCAGUCGAUACGGGCUGGCUUGAGUGCGGUAGGGGAGACUGGAAUUCCUGGUGUAGCGGUGAAAUGCGCAGAUAUCAGGAGGAACACCGGUGGCGAAGGCGGGUCUCUGGGCCGUAACUGACGCUGAGGAGCGAAAGCGUGGGGAGCAAACAGG